rnacentral:rRNA from 1 species
UGGGGAAUCUUCCGCAAUGGACGAAAAUCUGACGGAGCAACGCCGCGUGAGUGAUGACGGCCUUCGGGUUGUAAAGCUCUGUUAAUCGGGACGAAUGGUUCUUGUGCGAAUAGUGCAAGGAUUUGACGGUACCGGAAUAGAAAGCCACGGCUAACUACGUGCCAGCAGCCGCGGUAAUACGUAGGUGGCAAGCGUUGUCCGGAAUUAUUGGGCGUAAAGCGCGCGCAGGCGGAUUGGUCAGUCUGUCUUAAAAGUUCGGGGCUUAACCCCGUGAUGGGAUGGAAACUGCCAAUCUAGAGUAUCGGAGAGGAAAGUGGAAUUCCUAGUGUAGCGGUGAAAUGCGUAGAUAUUAGGAAGAACACCAGUGGCGAAGGCGACUUUCUGGACGAAAACUGACGCUGAGGCGCGAAAGCCAGGGGAGCGAACGGG